rnacentral:sRNA from 1 species
UGACAGAUUGUUAAUGGCUGAAAGCGG